CCAAGGCGUAUCAUUGCAAGAGUUCUAAGUGAGACCGAUCUCCCAUCACAAAGUGGAAUGAAACACCCCAUAGACAUGAUGGGUGAAUCCACUGUUAAAAACAGGUGGCCAGUGCCUAAGCCAUAUUGGUACCAUGAAUUGUUUGAUGUUCAUCGUCCUCUGCGCGGGUUUGGUGGAAGGCAACUCCAGUAAACGUCAUCGU